UUAAAAUCGAAGAUGUGAUCAAGUAAAUGAGAAUUGUGAAACAGAAAAUAUAGCCAAGGCUGAGAGCUAUAUCACCACUUCUUGUUGAAGCCUACCACGGAGAUGUUAGCCAAAAGGCUAACCGAGUCGUUUCGUUAUUAACGCUUGAGGACUUAAUCAGCUUGAUUAAGUUGAACGAAGGUGGUACCACGUCUAUUCGCGUAAAGACGUCCUUAAU
rnacentral:ncRNA from 1 species